UCUCUCCUGGAAACGGGUGGUAAUGCCGGAUGCUCCAGUUGAUCGCAUGGUCUUCUGGGAAAGCUUUCGCGGUAUGGGAUGGGGUCGCGUCCUAUCAGCUUGACGGCGGGGUAACGGCCCACCGUGGCUUCGACGGGUAGCCGGCCUGAGAGGGCGACCGGCCACAUUGGGACUGAGAUACGGCCCAGACUCCUACGGGAGGCAGCAGUGGGGAAUAUUGCACAAUGGGCGCAAGCCUGAUGCAGCGACGCCGCGUGAGGGAUGGAGGCCUUCGGGUUGUAAACCUCUUUUAUCGGGGAGCAAGCGAGAGUGAGUUUACCCGUUGAAUAAGCACCGGCUAACUACGUGCCAGCAGCCGCGGUAAUACGUAGGGUGCAAGCGUUAUCCGGAAUUAUUGGGCGUAAAGGGCUCGUAGGCGGUUCGUCGCGUCCGGUGUGAAAGUCCAUCGCUUAACGGUGGAUCCGCGCCGGGUACGGGCGGGCUUGAGUGCGGUAGGGGAGACUGGAAUUCCCGGUGUAACGGUGGAAUGUGUAGAUAUCGGGAAGAACACC
rnacentral:rRNA from 1 species